rnacentral:lncRNA from 1 species
GCCUCCUGUUUUUCUAUCUAAUAAAGUAAAUCCUGAAGUUAGUGUGAAUCCUGUUUGACAAAGAAUAUCGCGCAGUCAGCAUUUCAGAGUGGCACGAAAGAGCCUGUGUUGUCAAACCACUUUGCCAGAGCUGCCUUCUCCCCACCCUGUUUGUUUGCCUGCCAAAGACUGUCAUGGUUUCUGGAAGAAAAGACUCAAGAUGUUCUCAGUAGCUGCUGUUUUCAGACAUCAUGAAAGUCUUCUCCUACCCUCUAUAAAAACAAACAAUAAAACUCUACAAAGGAAAAGCCCACAAAAACAUGCUGACUUUAGAAGAAUCCAUGAUUUAGAAUAUUUUUAUAAAUAUCUAAGAAAACAGGAGUCCUUUCCAUAUAUAUGGUCCUUGGAGAUACUUUCCAUAUAUAUGGUCCUUGGAGAAUCCAGUUUUUAUGAGAAAGGUGAUUUCCAAAAUCUCUUACACUUUACAAUUUCAAUUUUGGCCUGAGCAUAUCUCUCGAUUGAUCUACCUACCUACAUACUGAUCUAUCUUGGAUAGAGCACUGGACAAAAGGUAGGCACUGUUUACAAUCCACUGACAAGAAAACACAUGAAGAAGCAAACCCCACAGCGCUCUGAAACCUGGAAGAGAUGGGUUCUACAUGGGUCUGAUGGGAUUA